UGGGGAAUAUUGCACAAUGGGCGCAAGCCUGAUGCAGCCAUGCCGCGUGUAUGAAGAAGGCCUUCGGGUUGUAAAGCACUUUCAGCGGGGAGGAAGGCGAUAAGGUUAAUAACCUUGUCGAUUGACGUUACCCGCAGAAGAAGCACCGGCUAACUCCGUGCCAGCAGCCGCGGUAAUACGGAGGGUGCAAGCGUUAAUCGGAAUUACUGGGCGUAAAGCGCACGCAGGCGGUCUGUCAAGUCGGAUGUGAAGUCCCCGGGCUCAACCUGGGAACUGCAUUCGAAACUGGCAGGCUAGAGUCUUGUAGAGGGGGGUAGAAUUCCAGGUGUAGCGGUGAAAUGCGUAGAGAUCUGGAGGAAUACCGGUGGCGAAGGCGGCCCCCUGGACAAAGACUGACGCUCAGGUGCGAAAGCGUGGGGAGCAAACAGG
rnacentral:rRNA from 1 species